CCCUUAUUUUGAAUCCUCAUGCCUCUCUCUUGCUCACCCCCAAAUGUAUCUAUACCUUGAGAGCGAUUUUGAUUCAGAGCAAUUUUCUUUGAGAUUUAUACAGAUUCAUCAAAGUGAUUUCGAUUUGAAACUCUGAAGCUCCACUCUCUCUCUCUCUCUCUCUCUCUCUCUCUCGCGCGCGCGAUUCAUCCUUUGUUCUCUAUGAUAUCGAUCUGAAGCUCUGGGAGAUUGCGAAGAGAGAAGAGGGGUUGGUUUUGAUCGCAGAGGAAGUGAUCUCAAGAGAGGCUGUGCUUGAUUUCUCAGAUCGGUCUUUGAGCGAUUUCGAUUUUGAGAUUCAUCUCAGAGCAAUUUCGAUUUUGAAGUUCUCUCUCUCGAUUUCGAAGCUUCACCGUGUGUGGAUUCAGUUUCCUCUUGGGAUCAAUUUAUCUAAAUCUGAGUCAGGUUGCUAAAGCCACCCAAAAUUUUUCACCAUCAAUGAAGAUUGGUGAAGGAGGCUUUGGAACUGUCUACAAGGCCCUGUUACCAAGUGGUCAGGUAGUUGCCAUAAAACGAGCAAAGAAGGUAAGCUGCAGUUUCUUCUCAUGGCCUAGAAUUUACUGUUUCUGCCAUAUUAAUUUUGCUCACAAGAUAACAUUAAUUUCUUGCUACAUCUCUAGAAGGAGAUGUCGCAUUGUGGUUUUAUUUCACUAGGAACUGUCUCAGACCAGACAAAUCAAAAGUUUAAUUGAUCUUUGAAUUGGAGUUCAUGAUAGAUACGAAGUAGGAUGCGGCUGGAAUAAGUAAAACAAAGGGCUGAUAUAAUAUAGAGGGAUCAUGUGAGCAUUUUAGUUGAUCUUUGCAAAUCAAUAGCUUAGGACAAUCACCAUGUUAAAACGGUGCCACAUGCAUUCAUCUCAUGGAAAAUAUGCUAGUUAUAAAGCCAAUAUUUCUAGAGAAAAAUCUCUAGUUUCUGCAAUUAGCACCACUGGUGGUGCAACUAUGCACUCUCUAGCAGCACUACUGAUGCAGUUGAACCUGGAGUUGGUGGUGUUCCUAGUAGAUACCUUGGAACAACGCCUGCUUUUUUAUGGCAAACUCAGCUCCAACAAGCACCAAUAUCCAUGGUAUGAUUCUUUAUAUGGUGAUAGGAUAAAACAUGUUUUAGACAAAUUAUCACGUGUUUUUUUUUAAUAUAUAUAUAUAUAUAUAUAUAUUUAAUGCAAAAUGUAUGUGUUGUGGUUUAGAUUGUUGUUCACAGUUAUGAUCCAUAUUUAUAUCAAUUUUUAUUUCUCUCUUCUUGUUCUUAUGAGUAAACCCUUUAAUAAUUUUGAUAUAGAAGGCCAAAAAAAAAAAAAAUCUUAUAGUUUCCUUUUAAUUGUAGGGCAUGGCUGAGUACCAGAUGCCACUUUUCCGUGAAAUUGAUGGUUGUUUAAAAGCUAAAUGUGAUAGGUUAACAGAUGCCUUUGAAAUAGAUGAUAUUGGUUUGUCGUAAUUACUCUCUAUUCUCUCUGUGCACAGAUGAAGAGAUAUUGUGUGCAUAAUAUUACCCAUUGUUUGGUGUUGUAGACAUUUCAUCUGGUAAUCAAAGUUCAAGUGCUUGGCUUCCAAAAAGGUUUGUGUACUUGUUUCAUUUUGUCAUCAUUAAUGGUGCAAGGUCUGUUUGAAUGUCAAGGCUAUAAUGAUAUACUUUUUUUUGAUUGUUUGAAAUUUCAAUAUAAAGCGGUAUAGUCUAUAUACUUGUCAUGAUGGUACCAUGUUGUGUAUGCUUGUUGCCAUUUAGCUGAACGUGAUUUGAAGCUUUUAUAGAUUAGAUUGGGCAAAGAGACACUUAAAAAAAUUUAAGCUUUAAAGUUGUUUCUUCAUUUUUUUAUCCUUCUUUUACCUAUUAUUUUUUCUUUUUCAAGUUUUUCAUUUGAGUGGAGAGCAUUACAAAAAUUGUUCUUGAAUUUUAUUCACUCAGACCUUCUUGUUCUGGAAACGGUUACUGCUGCUUUUCCUUUUCUGUCAUUUCAGUUCAAAAUGGAUACUCAAAUAUAGAUUCAUGAGUCUCAAAUCUUACCCUUCAAGAUGGAAAAUAUUUUUUCCCCCUUUCUUAUUUUUCUUCUUAAAAACAUGAACUAUGAAAGCUUUCUUUAGAUGUCGAGGUGGUUAUUCUUUCUUGAAACUGUCUAUACCUACUUUUCCAAACUACCUAAAGCAACCAUAUAUCAAUUGCUUUGUGUGUACUUUAAUAGUCAGAAAUGACUUUCUGAGGAGUUCAUUUACCUGUAGCUUGUGUGCUUCUCUUUGAUCAUCUAAAUAGGGUAAAGGUAAUUAUUGAGAAGAUUGAGAGGGAAGAGGCAGCACUGAGGGAGGAUUUGUAUUCCGUGGACAGAAAUUUUGUAGAAUAUUACAAUGUAUGUGAAUAUGAGUUCUGAUGACUUGAACUUUAUCUUUUCUUUGAUCAAUGCCACCAAUUUACAUCUUUUGGAAGUGAACAUUAACAAUUUUGGCUGCAAGUUUCCAGAAUACAUCGGUAAUCUCUUGAGAAACCUUGAAUAUUUGAAUCUAGACCACAAUCAUAUAUUCAGAAGCAUUCCACCCGGGAUUGUAAAUCUUGUUGGCUUGCAGAGUUUGAAUAUGCAGCUUAACCAAUUCACUGGUUCUAUUCCAAGUGAGAUUGGAAAGCUUCAAAAUCUAUACAGAUUGAAUCUCGACAACAAUUCAUUGUCUGGUAACAUUCCCUCUUCCCUAGGAAAUCUGAGUUUGUUAAGUAUAUUUGCUUUAAGAAUCAAUAAUUUUCAUGGAAGCAUUCGUCUGAGCCUAGGGAAUCUGAGAAGUCUCUACUUUUGUAGUUUUGUUAUAAAAACAACAUAAUUCAAUGAUUUUAGUAUAUGGGAUACCUACAGAAGGUUAUUUUGUAUGUCACUUUUAGAAGGUUAUGCAACCAAACAUGGAUCUCAUCUAUGGAAGUUAAUGAUAUCAUUAACUUAUUAACUUCCAAAAAUGGAAUAUUUUCAAGACAUAACUCUGAUAUUGUAAAUGGAUCUCAUCUAUGUCUAGAUAGGCAAUACACUGAUAUGCAAGGGUCUAUGAUUAAAAGAUCAUGUCCCAGAAACUCUGAGUUGCCUUAUUUAAUGAUAAAAAUGAUUAUGCAACCAAACAUAGAAACCUUGAACAAUCCAAUUUUCAUUAAUAACUUGCUCCUACACUUUAGAGGAACUUGUUGAAGAAGUGCUGGUUUUCUUGGUGAAUAUUGGUGCAACAUUUGCAAUUUUUUUGAGAUGCCCCUGUUGAAGAAGUGUUGGUUUUCUUCCGGCUUUGCAUCAUUUAGAUGUUUUCUCAUAUACUUUGAUAUGCAGGUGGAGGCAAUCCAAGUUGAUGCUGAUGAAGGUGGAUUUACACAAACACGUGGUGGCAUAUAUUGGGUUUUGUUGGUGAGUUGCAUCCUGACAAGAAUAGUGAUAACAAGAAGCAUGUGCUUUACACACAAAAAAACAUUAUUGUUAAAUACAGCAAGGAUCAGGUCCUUUG